CAGAGGGGGCAAGCGUUGUUCGGAAUUACUGGGCGUAAAGGGCGCGUAGGCGGCCCGCUAAGUCGAACGUGAAAUCCCUGGGCUCAACCCAGGAACUGCGUCCGAUACUGGUGGGCUUGAAUCCGGGAGAGGGAUGUGGAAUUCCAGGUGUAGCGGUGAAAUGCGUAGAUAUCUGGAGGAACACCGGUGGCGAAGGCGACAUCCUGGACCGGUAUUGACGCUGAGGCGCGAAAGCCAGGGGAGCAAACGGGAUUAGAUACCCCGGUAGUCCUGGCCCUAAACGAUGAAUGCUUGGUGUGGCGGGUAUCGAUCCCUGCCGUGCCGAAGCUAACGCAUUAAGCAUUCCGCCUGGGGAGUACGGUCGCAAGGCUG
rnacentral:rRNA from 1 species